rnacentral:rRNA from 1 species
UACGAAGGGGGCUAGCGUUGCUCGGAAUGACUGGGCGUAAAGGGCGCGUAGGCGGAUGGCACAGUCAGAUGUGAAAUUCCCGGGCUUAACCUGGGGGCUGCAUUUGAUACGUGUUGUCUAGAGUGAGGAAGAGGGUUGUGGAAUUCCCAGUGUAGAGGUGAAAUUCGUAGAUAUUGGAAGAACACCGGUGGCGAAGGCGGCAACCUGGUCCUUGACUGACGCUGAGGCGCGAAAGCGUGGGGAGCAAACAGG